GAUGAACGCUGGCGGCGUGCCUAAUACAUGCAAGUCGAGCGAACAGACGAGGAGCUUGCUCCUCUGACGUUAGCGGCGGACGGGUGAGUAACACGUGGAUAACCUACCUAUAAGACUGGGAUAACUUCGGGAAACCGGAGCUAAUACCGGAUAACAUGUUGAACCGCAUGGUUCAACAGUGAAAGACGGUUUUGCUGUCACUUAUAGAUGGAUCCGCGUCGCAUUAGCUAGUUGGUAAGGUAACGGCUUACCAGGGCAACGAUGCGUAGCCGACCUGAGAGGGUGAUCGGCCACACUGGAACUGAGACACGGUCCAGACUCCUACGGGAGGCAGCAGUAGGGAAUCUUCCGCAAUGGGCGAAAGCCUGACGGAGCAACGCCGCGUGAGUGAAGAAGGUCUUCGGAUCGUAAAACUCUGUUAUUAGGGAAGAACAAAUGUGUAAGUAACUAUGCACGUCUUGACGGUACCUAAUCAGAAAGCCACGGCUAACUACGUG
rnacentral:rRNA from 1 species